rnacentral:rRNA from 1 species
AGCAGCCGCGGUAAUACCGUAUGUGCCCUACGGGGGAAAGAUUUAUCGCCAUUGGAGCGGCCCGCGUUGGAUUAGGUAGUUGGUGAGGUAAAGGCUCACCAAGCCUACGAUCCAUAGCUGGUCUGAGAGGAUGAUCAGCCACACUGGGACUGAGACACGGCCCAGACUCCUACGGGAUCAGCAGUAGGGAAUCUUGCGCAAUGGGCGAAAGCCUGACGCAGCCAUGCCGCGUGAAUGAUGAAGGUCUUAGGAUUGUAAAAUUCCCUCACCGGGGAAGAUAAUGACGGUACCCGGAGAAGAAGCCCCGGCUAACUUCGUGCCAGCAGCCGCCGUAAUACGAAGGGGGCUAGCGUUGCUCGGAAUUACUGGGCGUAAAGGGCGCGUAGGCGGAUGUUUAAGUCGGGGGUGAAAGCCCGGGGCUCAACCUCGGAAUUGCCUUCGAUACUGGACAUCUUGAGUACGGGAGAGGUGAGUGGAACUCCGAGUGUAGAGGUGAAAUUCGUAGAUAUUCGGAAGAACACCAGUGGCGAAGGCGACUCACUGGCCCGUUACUGACGCUGAGGCG